rnacentral:tRNA from 1 species
GGUGGCUCAGUAGAAGAGUGCUUGCCUUGCAUGCAUGAGGCCCUGGGUUCGAUUCCUCAGCACCA